AGUAUAUUUUUGGCCGGUACUGUAGAUACUUACAGAAGAUCGAAGCUCGUGAGAGUGUCGUGUCUACGCAGGGUCAACCCGAUUGGUCCGACAAAUUCGUCCUUUUUCGACGCAGAUCGAUAUUCAUUACUGAAUCUGAGUUUUACCAGACGAGUUGACUCGCCGGUGCCGCGUGGAUUUACUUGUUCGAUGAGACGAAGGUACAUUUAAGACAAAUUCGACGCAUUAUGUUAGCGGAAAGCAGAGAAGUAUCGCCGGAACGUGUAAGAGCAAUAAAAGGCGAGAGAUCACCUUCCGUUUCCCGAGCCACAUUUCUGUCUACCAUUGAAGAAAAGACCGAAAUCAAAAGAGAAAAUGAACGGAAAGACGAACAAGGGGCAGCAAAAAAUUAAUGAAAUUUACGAGGCGUGAUAUCCUUGGUGACGCUUAUACUCUCCUUAGGAAUCUUCACGUAUUUUC
rnacentral:misc_RNA from 1 species